rnacentral:rRNA from 1 species
UACGAAGGGUGCAAGCGUUACUCGGAAUUACUGGGCGUAAAGGGUGCGUAGGUGGUCGUUUAAGUCCGUUGUGAAAUCCCUGGGCUCAACCUGGGAAUGGCAGUGGAUACUGGACGGCUAGAAUGCGGUAGAGGGUAGUGGAAUUCCCGGUGUAGCAGUGAAAUGCGUAGAGAUCGGGAGGAACACCAGUGGCGAAGGCAGCUCGCUGGGACGUGACUGACGCUGAGACGCGAAAGCGUGGGGAGCAAACAGG